GCCGACCGCAAACAGCCGCCGAGGUUCGUCACCCAGAUCCAGAGCCAGCCGAACUUGGUGGAGAUGGAACAGACCAAGUUUGAGUGCCAGCUGGCGCCCGUUGGAGACCCCAACAUGAAGGUCGAGUGGUUCUUCAACGGCAGACCACUGCCAUACAAGAACCGCUUCACACCGAUCUACGACUUUGGUUACGUGGCGAUGAACUUUGGCUGGGUGUACCCGGAGGACUCUGGGGAGUACCUGUGCCGCGCCACCAACCUGUACGGCAUGGACGAGACCAAGGCCAUCAUCA